CAUUGGUUCCUGCCUCUAGGAACCUCCUGCCCUGACUUCUCUGGAUGAUGGACUACAAGUUCACCAGCAAGUGCAUGGCACAAGCCUCCACACCUCAGUGUCUCAUUACCCAAAGGAUGGUGGUCCAGACCUGCAAGUAGCCGCCGCCGCUGCAGCAGCAGCAGUCGGAGCAGCCUCAGCAGCCGCAGCAGUGACACCAGCACCAGCAGUGACACCAGCAGUGACACCAGCACCAGCACUAGCACCAGCACCAGCACCAGCCACAGCAACAACAGCAGCAGCAACAGCAGCAGAAAACCUAGUAACAAAGGCAGCAGCAGCCUCUCGAGCAGCAGCAGCAACAGCAGCAGCAAACCUAGUGACACAGACAGCAACAGCAGCAGCAUCUCUUGCAGCAGCAACAGCCCUAGUAACACAGACAGCAGCAGCCUCUCUAGCAGCAGCAGCAACAGCAGCAGACCUAGUAACACAGGCAGCAGCAGCCUCUCUAGCAGCAGCAGCAACAGCAGCAGACCUAGUAACACAGGCAGCAGUAGCAGCAGCAGCAGCAACAGCAGCAACAUCAGCAACAGCAGCAUCAGACCUAGUAACAGGGGCAGCAUCAGCAACUAUGACAACAGCAGCAACAGCAGCAGUCCCCAACCCUCUAGUGGCAACAUCAGCAACAG
rnacentral:lncRNA from 1 species